rnacentral:rRNA from 1 species
AUGGGGACACCGAGGCGAGAAAUUAUGUUUGACACAAUUGACAUAAGCAACAUUGCAUGCCGGGAUAGGGCUGGAGAGCGCGACACUAAUAUCGAAUACACCAUGAAACUGUUUGCCGAUAUGCAGAGGCAGAGGCCGGGAUUCCACCACGUGGAAGAGACAGAGAACAAUGUAGUGCGGAGCCUGUUCUGUACAGACUCCUUGUGCAAGAUGAAUUAUGAGCUAUAUGGAGAUUUCGUGUCUUUUGACACGACAUUCUCUAUGAAUAUAUAUGGCUUGCCAUUUGCACCAAUUAUAGGUGUCGACAACCAUGGGUCGACCGUCCUGUUUGGACUAGGCCUUUUGAAGGAUGAGAAGAUAGGGUCAUUCAAGUGGCUCCUAAGCACGUUUUUCGAGGUAAUGGGAGGUAAGGAGCCGAAAUACAUAAUAACAGACCAGGACCAGGCGAUGAAGACUGCAAUAAAGGAAGCUCUUCUGAGAACAAGACACAGGUUCUGCUGGUAG